GUCUUACUUCUGUUAUCUCAUCUAAUCUCCAUAGCCGCCCAGUGCAGGAGGCACCAUUGCUGUUCUCAGAGAUGAAGAAAGUGAGGCUCCGAGGACUUGGGUAACGUGUCCAGGGCCACCCGGUUGGAAAGACUUCCAGUCUGGACCGGCUGUCAGCAGGCUUAGCCACAGCCAUUCUGACUAUGACACACAUACAUCAUUUUCUGAUAAGGAGUUUUGUAAGGCUCCUAUGAGUGUUUCCCUGUCACAUUCAGAAGACAGGCCAGGCUCCUUCCUGUGACUCACCGGUGCCACCUGCUCCACCCAAGCCUGCUCUGAUGAUCCUGGUGGCUCUGCACCCCUGUCUUCUAGACCUUCAGCUACCCAGACCUGUACCUUAACAGACUGUGAGCUUGGUGUUGACCAUGAUGGGAAUAUUAUUCUGCGAGAACGGACAAACAGAACACACUGGGGCUCUUCUUGUCCUCUGAGACCUGGUUACAUUCACUGGCUCCUGACUGUGAACUGUGAUACGAGGGAGGAUACAGAGGGUUUGCCUUCAGAAGGAGUCUCAGAGCCUUCCCUGACCACCAGCCAUGUGAGGCUACCGAGUCCUUGAACUGUGGUUGUUGAGAUGUGCCUGGAGUUGAAACACACCGGACUUCUAAGACUCAGUACAAUGUAAUGUAAAGUAGUUUGUUUGUUUGUUUUGUUUUUCAAGACAAGCUUUCUCUGUUUAGCCCUGGCUAUUCUGGAUCUCACUCUAUAGACCAGGCUGGCCUUGAACUCAUCUGCGUGUGCCACCACUGUAAAUUACUGACAACUAUUUAACAUUUAUUAAAUGGGCUGGUUUUUUUUUCAAUGUGAUAUAAACCAGAGUUACCUAGGAAGAAGAAACCUCAUCAGAGAAUUGUAUCCAUCAUAUAGGCUCACAGAUAUGCCUAUGGGGACGUUUACAAAAUAAUGAUAGAUGUGGGAGGGCCCAGCCCACUAUGGAUGGUGCCAGUGCUGGGCAUCAGGCCAGUGAGCAACAGUGAUUCCUUCCUCUGCUCUCUCACGAGUUCUAUCCCCGAAGCCCCUC
rnacentral:lncRNA from 1 species